CUUUCUUUCUUGAUUAAGUAACUUAAAUAUGUGAGAAAAAUGUAUAUAUGAGUGAUUUCCGAAUAGCCGCCUGUGGUAAGAUCUUUUUACCUAAAGUGAAUGAAAUGUUUAUUUAUUUGGCAUUCGGUUUUUACUUCAGAGUCUAACAUUAUUUUAGCAAUUUAUUUUCUUUCUUCAUUAGUAACUUUAAUAUGUAAAAAACGAAAAUAUAUUUUAAUGAUUUCCAUGAAGGCAGUGCUUUAAGUGGGCCGGAACGCGCCGGUACUCAGUACCCCCACUUCUAAAAAUAGCUCUUGAGCGUACCACCACCUCUCCCUGAGCCCAGAACGUGCUUUUAGCGUACCGGAAUGCUCAUUUGCACAUCUGUUUAAAUCAAAGGUUUUAAUCCUUUUGCUGCGCUGCCGCUUUUCAGAGCGCUCUUCACAAUGUACACUUCCUAAUUCGUCCCACCGAGAGCAGAGACUACAUUACCCAUACACCCUUGAGUUUACAAGUUAAAAGCGCAUGCGUCGCCUUUGCUGUCAGUCAGCCUCAACGUGGUGUGACUCACCAUACCCGUCAAGUAUCCCGUUUUGGCCGGGAAAGUCCCGUAUUUUCCCUUCUUUCCCGCCGUCCUUCCGUAUUAGUAUUUUCCCUUAAAUCUCCCGUAUUUUAUCCUCCGUAAUUUCGCACGCAAAGGUUGUGAUCUAUAAAAAGAUCCUAAAGAUCGCUAAAGAUCCACUGGUUCCGCUAAUCCACUUCGUGUUUUCCCGCCCGCUCCGCAGCAUGUCUGUGUGCACUCUCUGCCUGGACGACAGUUUCUGAAGUUCGUUGCAUUAACAGGCAAAAAAUACAAAAAACACAAAUGCCUGAAGACAGAGAACGGAAAGGGAGGCUGCUUCUAAAGGCAGUUCAACAUUGCAAACAUGGAUUCAAAGAUCCAUCAAGCCAGCAGUGAUUCCCGUCUAUAUGAAGAGAGGAUGUUUUUGAUUAUUGUAAUGAUGGAGAGGCGGCUAACUGCUGUGGUAAGAUUUUUUGAUCCAAAGUAAAUUAAAUGUUUAUUCAUUUUCAAUAAAUAUCUGUUAUAAGUCUUCUUUAUUGUGUUGAAGUGACUAUAUAUUUGAUAAAAUACAAUGCUAUCUAAAUUCAAUGUGUGGUGGGUUGAGGUAUUUUUAUUUAAAAUAAACUGUGUUAUAAUACAUUCAUCUAAUGUUUCAAUAGACAUUUUUUCAGUAAUAAAAUAAUUUAUUUCAGUGCGUGCACGGAGGCGCAGCAACGCGACCUGUCCUGUAGAUCAUUAAACUGUUUUUGUUCCAUGUCAACUUGUGCAUACUCCCAGCAAAAAUGUUUGGUUCCCAAAACGUUCUCCUAACGUUAGAAUAAGGUUCCCAUA